CCGAGCGUUGUCCGGAAUCAUUGGGCGUAAAGAGCGUGYMKKCGGCCUUUUAAGUCCUGCGUGAAAUCCUGCGGCUCAACCGCAGACGGUCGUGGGAAACUGGAAGGCUAGAGUGCGGGAGAGGAGAGUGGAAUUCCCGGUGUAGCGGUGAAAUGCGCAGAUAUCGGGAAGAACACCCGUGGCGAAGGCGGCUCUCUGGAACGCAACUGACGCUGAGACGCGAAAGCGUGGGGAGCAAACAGGAUUAGAUACCCUGGUAGUCCACGCCGUAAACGAUGGACGCUAGGUGUGGGCGGUGUCGACUCCGUCCGUGCCGAAGCUAACGCAUUAAGCGUCCCGCCUGGGGAGUACGGCCGCAAGGCUA
rnacentral:rRNA from 1 species